CGUUGGGGUGAAAUGUGGGGAGAGAAGCUUAUGCUGGGAUCACAAAGCAGUUCUGUGUUUACUCUGCCUUUACAAAACACUUUCAUACCCCCUUGCAUUCCAGGCAUCACAACUUCCUUCUAACACAUAUAGUUAAGGCAACUUGAGAAACAGGCAGAGAACAUGACUGUCCUGAGAUGUAACAGAGGAGCAUUAUAUCUGAAUCCAGAACCCUCAAGCAGAGGUUCUUCAUAGUCUGUGACCUUGUUUUCCCAUCAGGAUUGCUCUGAACUUGCAUAGUUUCUGUACAGAACACAAGUUUUCUAGUCUAGCUGCUGCAGAUAGCAAAACGUAGAUCUGAUGUUUGGAUACACUAAGCUCCGUAUGAGUCCAGCAGGGACAACUGACCCCCAUGGGGAGGCUAAGCAGUUUCAAGACAUCUUGAUGCCUGGAUGAAAGAUGUUUCUUCUGAGUCAGCAGUGUUCUUCUCCAGCAUUUUGCAAGGUGUUUUCUCCUGCUGGCAAAAUCAGAAAUACUAGUAACUUAACAAGGCUUUUAAAGGGGCAACACUUUGGUCUCCAAUGGAAAUUUACUUCCAUUCCACCCUGUUGCGAUCUUAAGGUAAGGAAAUCUGGUAUUUUUUUUGUAGUAGAUUUUUUGUUCCUCCAGUACUUAGGAAAGAUCGCUCAUCUCUUCUGUCUUUGUCUUCAGCUCUAUCCAUGUUACUCACAGCUGGUUUGACAAUGAGUGAUGCAUACAGUUAAGCAGCU
rnacentral:lncRNA from 1 species